rnacentral:rRNA from 1 species
CUCAAAGAUUAAGCCAUGCAUGUAUAAGUAUAAACGACUUGAUCGUAAAACCGCGAACGGCUCAUUAUAACAGCUAUAAUUUACUUGAUCUUGACAACCUACUUGGAUAACUGUGGUAAUUCUAGAGCUAAUACAUGCACCAAAGCUCCGACCGUAAGGGAAGAGCGCAUUUAUUAGAACAAAACCAAGCGGCUUCGGCCGUCCAAUGUUGACUCAGAAUAACUAAGCUGAUCGCAUGGUCUUGUACCGGCGACGUGUCUUUCAAGUAUCUGCCUUAUCAACUUUCGAUGGUAGUGUAUCUGACUACCAUGGUGAUAACGGGUAACGGAGGAUAAGGGUUCGACUCCGGAGAAGGGGCCUGAGAAAUGGCCACUACGUCUAAGGAUGGCAGCAGGCGCGCAAAUUACCCACUCUCAGAACGAGGAGGUAGUGACGAGAAAUAACGAGACCGUUCUCUUAAGAGGCCGGUCAUCGGAAUGGGUACAAUUUAAACCCUUUAACGAGUAUCUAUGAGAGGGCAAGUCUGGUGCCAGCAGCCACGGUAAUUCCAGCUCUCAAAAUGCAUAGAAUUAUUGCUGCGGUUAAAAAGCUCGUAGUUGGAUCUGUGCUGGCCUCCCGGUCCACCUUCGGGUGUGCACUGGUGAGGUUGGCUUUCCUGCCCAUUUUUCGGUCAGUGCCUUUAACCGGGUGCUGGUCGUAGUGGGCAAGUUUACUUUGAACAAAUCAGAGUGCUCAAAACAGGCGUUUCGCUUGAAUGUUCGUGCAUGGAAUAAUAGAAGAGGAUUUCGGUUCUAUUUUAUUGGUUUUAUAGACUGAGAUAAUGGUUAACAGAGACAAACGGGGGCAUUCGUAUUGCUACGUGAGAGGUGAAAUUCUUGGACCAUAGCAAGACGAACUACAGCGAAAGCAUUUGCCAAGAAUGCCUUCAUUAAUCAAGAACGAAAGUCAGAGGUUCGAAGGCGAUCAGAUACCGCCCUAGUUCUAACCGUAAA